rnacentral:rRNA from 1 species
AUGGACGGCGACUUGAAGGCGCUGAGGGUUCAGUUUUCUGGAGUAGAAAAGAGAGACAAAGGUGGGGAAGCUUCUACAAUACUGCCACAAGAAAACUCGGCUCCUGGAAGAGCGCAAAUGGAUAGCGGAGACGAAUACAACGCUAUAUUCGCAGCCACAAUUGCCGCAGCGGCAUACGCAAUCGCAGCAGAAGAAGAGAAACAGAAGGCCAGCCCUGUUCAGCUGCCAUCCAAGAGAGGUGAAAGCAUGAGAAAGCCUACAGGAGGCAGCAAGAUCUCAAGAUGGUUCAGUGCCAAAGAGCGUGCAGAAGAUGCUGACGAGGGACCAGCCAACGUAUCGGUAAGGAGGCCACUGAAACCAGAACAGAGGAAGCCCGGAGGCACGGGUUCAGACCAGAAGGUGCCAUUGCCACUUCCACCAAAGAUGCAUGAUUCUUCUGUGGGAGCAAAAAAGGCUCCAGGAUCCUCCAGAAAAUCACCAGAGAAGAAAGGAAGCAAGAGGUUUGAGCAGGAGCAGGCAGUUCAGAGGGUACCAACCGCUGUCAGGCCAGCAACAUCAUAUCAGUCUAGGCGGAACGACGAUGGCGCAGCAGGAGUAACUGCUAUUGCCGGCACACAGAGCAAGGCUGAUGCAUGGGAGAAGGAAAGGCUUGCUAGAGUCAGGGAGGAGUACGAAAAGAUGAUGGAAACCAUAGCCGAGUGGGAGACUGAGAAGAAGGUGAAGGCCAAGCGCCAAAAAGAACAGAAAGAGGUUGCGUUGGACAGAAAGAGAGCGAAACAAUUGGCAGAGUACAAUCAGGAAAUGACAAGGAUCAACAAAAUCGCUGGAGGAGCAAGGUCAAUGGCAGGGGAAAGGAAAUACGAGGAUGAGAAAAAGAUCAGAGAGAAGGCCAAGAAGAUACGAUCAACAGGAAAGUCUCCCCGUGGAUGCUGCUUUUGA